ACGUACGCACUCCCCAAAUCUUAAGCAUAACAAUAACAAGCCGCUCACUCUUCUCCUAAAGAUCUUCAAUUCUCUGUCUCUCUCUCUUACAACCCAGUACUUCCACAUCUCUCUCUCUCUAUCAUAUUUCUCAGACCAAAAGCAAAGUAGAGAAAAAAAAAAAGGGAAAGAAUUUUAUUUUUCUCAUUUUACAUCACAGUAUUUCAGAGUUAAAAAUAUCUCAAGAUUUUUUUCCUUCAGAUAUCAGCUUCCAGAGAGGCACCUGUAGGGUUUUGAAUUUGGUUGUCGGUUUUGGGAGUUGUGGAGCUCAAUCCGUGGUUUCUGA